rnacentral:siRNA from 1 species
CACAAUGAAAAUUGGUUCUAUUAC